GAUUCUGGCGUAGACCCGGCCGCUGCUGGAUUGCAGGUUACCUUAGAUGAGAAACCCAAAAUUCUUGAUGUCAUUGAUUGUUCUGGCAGUGGAGAUGUUGAUACCUCAAAGGUGGUGAAGGCUGAUGCUGAUGGUUGUAUUUGCGGUGCAUCAGGGACAUCUUUGAUCAUCAAUACUUCAUGGAAAAAUCCUUCUGGUGAAUGGCAUAUUGGUUA